rnacentral:rRNA from 1 species
GUAGGUGGCAAGCGUUGUCCGGAAUUAUUGGGCGUAAAGCGCGCGCAGGCGGUCCUUUAAGUCUGAUGUGAAAGCCCACGGCUCAACCGUGGAGGGUCAUUGGAAACUGGGGGACUUGAGUACAGAAGAGGAAAGCGGAAUUCCACGUGUAGCGGUGAAAUGCGUAGAGAUGUGGAGGAACACCAGUGGCGAAGGCGGCUUUCUGGUCUGUAACUGACGCUGAGGCGCGAAAGCGUGGGGAGCAAACAGGGAUUAGAUACCCUGGUAGUCCACGCCGUAAACGAUGAGUGCUAAGUGUUAGAGGGUUUCCGCCCCUUUAGUGCUGAAGUUAACGCAUUAAGCACUCCGCCUGGGGAGUACGGUCGCAAGACUG